AGAGUUUGAUCCUGGCUCAGAACGAACGUUGGCGGCGUGGAUUAGGCAUGCAAGUCGGGGGAAUCCCAGCAAUGGGGGAACCGGCGUAAGGGGCAGUAAGGCAUGGGUACCUACCCCGGGGUUCGGGAUAGCCAUCAGAGAUGGUGGGUAAUACCGGAUGACGUGGUGACACCAAAGAUUUAUCGCCCUGGGAGGGGCCCAUGUGAUAUUAGCUAGUUGGUGAGGUAACGGCUCACCAAGGCGAAGAUGUCUAGCGGGUGUGAGAGCACGACCCGCGCCACUCGCACUGAGACACUGGCGAGACACCUACGGGUGGCUGCAGUCGAGGAUCUUCGGCAAUGGGCGCAAGCCUGACCGAGCGACGCCGCGUGUGCGAUGAAGGCCUUCGGGUUGUAAAGCACUUUAGUGGGGGAGAAAAGCCGAAAGGUUUGAUCUAUCCCAAAAAUAAGCACGGGCUAAGUUCGUGCCAGCAGCCGCGGUAAGACGAACCGUGCGAACGUUGUUCGGAAUCACUGGGCUUAAAGGGCGCGUAGGCGGGCUGUCAAGUCUGGGGUGAAAUCCCGCGGCUCAACCGUGGAACUGCCUCAGAUACUGACGGCCUCGAGGGAGGUAGGGGCGAGCGGAACUGUGAGUGGAGCGGUGAAAUGCGUUGAUAUUCACAGGAACUCCGGUGGCGAAGGCGGCUCGCUGGACCUCUUCUGACGCUGAGGCGCGAAAGCCAGGGGAGCAAACGGGAUUAGAUACCCCGGUAGUCC
rnacentral:rRNA from 1 species